rnacentral:hammerhead_ribozyme from 1 species
GCAUUGCUGAGGAGUCCAACGAUCGGACGAAACAGCUGUCCAGUGC